rnacentral:sRNA from 1 species
CUUGAAGAUCGGCGGGCGCAGCGGGGCCGAGGGGGCGGGUCUGGCGCUAGGUCCAGCCCCUGCGUGCCGGGAACCCCAGAGGAGGUCGCAGUUCAGCCCAGCUGAGGCCUGUCUGCAGAAUCGACACCAACCAGCAUCAUGUCCAUGACACUGGGGUACUGGGACAUCCGCGGGCUGGCCCACGCCAUCCGCCUGCUCCUGGAAUACACAGACUCAAGCUACGAGGAAAAGAAGUACACGAUGGGGGACGCUCCUGACUAUGACAGAAGCCAGUGGCUGAAUGAAAAAUUCAAGCUGGGCCUGGACUUUCCCAAUGUGGGGAGACAGAAGAGGAGAAGAUUCGUGUGGACAUUUUGGAGAAUCAGGCUAUGGACGUCUCCAAUCAGCUGGCCAGAGUCUGCUACAGCCCUGACUUUGAGAAACUGAAGCCAGAAUACUUGGAGGAACUUCCUACAAUGAUGCAGCACUUCUCACAGUUCCUGGGGAAGAGGCCAUGGUUUGUUGGAGACAAGAUCACCUUUGUAGAUUUCCUCGCCUAUGAUGUCCUUGACCUCCACCGUAUAUUUGAGCCCAAGUGCUUGGACGCCUUUCCAAAUCUGAAGGACUUCAUCUCCCGCUUUGAGGGCUUGGAGAAGAUCUCUGCCUACAUGAAGUCCAGCCGCUUCCUCCCAAAACCUCUGUACACAAGGGUGGCUGUCUGGGGCAACAAGUAAUGCCUUGAAGGCCAGGAGGUGGGAGUGAGGAGCCCAUACUCAGCCUGCUGCCCAGACUGUGCAGCGCAGCUGGACUCUGCAUCCCAGCACCUGCCUCCUCGUUCCUUUCUCCUGUUUAUUCCCAUCUUUACCCCCAAGACUUUAUUGGGCCUCUUCACUUCCCCUAAACCCCUGUCCCAUGCAGGCCCUUUGAAGCCUCAGCUACCCACUAUCCUUCGUGAACAUCCCCUCCCAUCAUUACCCUUCCCUGCACUAAAGCCAACCUGACCUUCCUUCCUGUUAGUGGUUGUGUCUGCUUUGAAGGGCCUGCCUGGCCCCUCGCCUGUGGAGCUCAGCCCCGAGCUGUCCCCAUGUUGCAUGACAGCAUUGACUGGUUUACAGGCCCUGCUCCUGCAGCAUGGCCCCUGCCUUAGGCCUACCUGAUCAAAAUAAAGCCUCAGCCACA